GUAGGGGGCAAGCGUUGUCCGGAAUCAUUGGGCGUAAAGCGCGUGUAGGCGGCCAGAUAAGUCCGCUGUGAAAUCUCGAGGCUCAACUUCGAGCUGUCGGUGGAAACUGUCUGGCUAGAGUCCGGAAGAGGAGAGUGGAAUUCCUGGUGUAGCGGUGAAAUGCGCAGAUAUCAGGAAGAACACCCGUGGCGAAGGCGGCUCUCUGGGACGGUACUGACGCUGAGACGCGAAAGCGUGGGGAGCGAACAGGAUUAGAUACCCUGGUAGUCCACGCCGUAAACGAUGGGUGCUAGGUGUGGGCGGUGUCGACUCCGUCCGUGCCGAAGCUAACGCAUUAAGCACCCCGCCUGGGGAGUACGGCCGCAAGGCUAAA
rnacentral:rRNA from 1 species